AGUGGUUAAGAGUUUGGCUGCUAACCAAACGGUUGGUGGUUCAAAUCCAUCAGCCACUC
rfam:Loxodonta africana unplaced genomic scaffold scaffold_4, whole genome shotgun sequence.